CUUUAGUGUAUGUAGCAGAUACGUGUUGAAAGACCCCUGGAGCGGGGAGACCCUCACUCAAGUCUCGGGAUGAUGCGACCCCCCAAGAACUCACGUGAGACC
rnacentral:pre_miRNA from 14 species